rnacentral:lncRNA from 1 species
CCAAACACCCCCCCUACUCUUUACAACAGGGAUUUCUUCAAGAUCUGUAUCAUUCUGCUCUCACUAUCUCCAUCUUGCUUGCUCUCGCCUCUUGCAACCAUUGUUGCUGUCAGAGGUCUUGAUAACCAGGGUUUGAGAGGAUUCUUACCCGAGGACAUAUCCAAGCUGAGUCAUCUAGAACAUAUGCGACAUGGCCCAGUCUGAUCCGUUUUUUACAUUGCGAAACGAUGCUAGGGGUCAAAGGGGUUUCAGCAAUUUACAAAAAUGUACGUCGGCCAUUCGCCAACUUGCGUACGCUUGCAAAGCUAGGAUGUGAUCGCAGGUGUCACUUCAAGACGUAUGUGAACUUUUGUCAUUAAAUUUACCUGAAAGGCCAAUGAGGUGGUGGUGUAGUGGUAAGUGCGAGACUUGGUGUUCUUAGCAAUGUUUUAAUAACCGGGUUUUAAGUUAUACCGGGUUGGGCUCUAAAAUGGUUCAACAAGUUGAACCGGGUUGUAUCGGACGGUUGAACCGUGUUACUAGUUAACCCUAUAAAUUCCAUAAAAUACAAAUUCAUCUAAAAAACAAUCCAAUCUCA